CUCCUGGAAACGGGUGGUAAUGCCGGAUGUUCCACAUGAGCGCAUGCGAGUGUGGGAAAGGCUUUUUGCGGCAUGGGAUGGGGUCGCGUCCUAUCAGCUUGUUGGUGGGGUAACGGCCUACCAAGGCGUUGACGGGUAGCCGGCCUGAGAGGGCGACCGGCCACAUUGGGACUGAGAUACGGCCCAGACUCCUACGGGAGGCAGCAGUGGGGAAUAUUGCACAAUGGGCGCAAGCCUGAUGCAGCGACGCCGCGUGCGGGAUGGAGGCCUUCGGGUUGUAAACCGCUUUUGUUCAAGGGCAAGGCACGGUUUCGGCCGUGUUGAGUGGAUUGUUCGAAUAAGCACCGGCUAACUACGUGCCAGCAGCCGCGGUAAUACGUAGGGUGCAAGCGUUAUCCGGAUUUAUUGGGCGUAAAGGGCUCGUAGGCGGUUCGUCGCGUCCGGUGUGAAAGUCCAUCGCUUAACGGUGGAUCCGCGCCGGGUACGGGCGGGCUUGAGUGCGGUAGGGGAGACUGGAAAUUCCCGGUGUAACGGUGGAAUGUGUAGAUAUCGGGAAGAACACC
rnacentral:rRNA from 1 species